rnacentral:rRNA from 1 species
AGUUCGGAUUGAAGGCUGAAAUUCGCCUCAUGAAGCCGGAAUUGCUAGUAAUGGCAGGUCAGCNUACUGCCGUGAAUACGUUCCCGGGCCUUGUACACACCGCCCGUCACACCAUGAGAGUUGGGAAUACCCGAAGCCUGUGAGCUAACUAUACGAGGCAGCAGUCGAAGGUAGAAUCAAUGAUUGGGGUGAAGUCGUAACAAGGUAUC